CCUAGAAACUGCUACAGUUUGUGUUACAUGUUAUUAUACAUGUUAUAUUGUAGGGAAUUUUAAAGCGCGUGAGCCAGUAACAUGCAUAAGCACAUCUAACAUGUUCGAGUAUAGUGUGUGUGUGUGUCCGUUAUAAUGCAGUAUAUUGUGAGCUUGGAGGUUGCGUUACAACCUAAUGGUGGCGUACUAAAUUACUGUUAGAUCUGAAGACGAUGCCAUUGUUCUGUGACAGUCUUUGGACGUUUGGCAGGCUGACAUGUUUGCUCAGAAAUGCACCUUGAAGCAAUUUGGAAUGAUCUCAUGUUUGAGGAAAAAGUCUGAGAUCCCUUAAAGCUUGAAACACAUUGUGCUUGAUGAGACGUGAUUUCGGAUCAUUUCCUGAAUCCAGUCACCAGCAGUUUCACGACUCCGUCGUGUCUGAGAAAGGACAUACUGCAAAUAAUAGAGAAAUAUGCUACAAUUAACAUCAACUUUCGACAUUCAAAGAGAUGUUGUGUCGAGACUUUUAGCCAGAGAAGAGACAGUAAGAAGCCCCCGAGACAAUGUGCUGGUUGCUGAUGCUCAAAUCCUUAAUGUUGAGAGGGAUGAAGGUGUUGUUUAUUGCUGGAGAGGUGCCACAGGAAACACCAAAAUCGGCAAAUACAACCCUCAUACAAAACAGAAUAAGCUACUGUACACUUUUGACAAGCAAGUGUUUAUUAGCAGCUGCUCUCUGAAUAGAGAAGAAACACUGCUGGCGGUCAGUCUGACACGGUCAGUGGAGGGAGGAGAUCAUUUUAAACCAGUUUCAAAAUACCUGACUCUCCUUAUUGAAAUACAUCCAGUUAACAACACUAAGGUUAUAAAAGCUGUGGAUUGCAAGGUCAAAGUUCAGUUCCUGUAUCCUCACUUGUCCCGGAACAGUGUGCUGGAAAGUCAUUUGCUGGUGGCAGCAGAAGACGGCUAUAUUGACCAGUACCACAUUUUGCUGGGGAGUCAGGAAGGCUGUAAAGUUGUGAUGCAGAACACAGAGCAUCUGGUGAAAGACAGAGUGACAGAUGAGUUCUGCUGGGUUCAGUGGGACUUGGACAACCAGAGACUCUUCUUCCUCACAAGCAGGGAGAAAUACACGCUCAAGUGUGUGCAGUUUUUCCCUGGUCACAAUUUUGAGACCCUGUUUGAACUCCCCUUGGAGUUACCCAGUGAUCCUUUCACCUCUGUGAGGUUUAUUAAUUUUGGACAUGAUCACUACCAAGAGCAGGAAAAUGAGGGAAUACAACUAAUGGUAUUUACAGACAGAACAGGAAUCAUGUGUGUGUGCUACAGCCAUCCCCUGCAUGGUGCUGAGGAUUACAUGUACACAAUUGCAUUUGUGCACAGAGGCUUCAGUAAGACUUUCACUGUAGCACUUGAGCAAACUGUACCACCAAGCAGCAUGGCAAACUUCCAGCCACUCUUCAUCUGUUUGGGUCAUUAUGUUGUAGUUUAUCUUGCUGGCCACUUCCUUCACCUCAUCAACUGCAUCCAGCAGGACCUGCUCUGUCACAGCCUCUUUCUGUCAGGUGCUGAUGCUCAUGUGGAUGCAUUGGGAGUCAACCAUGUUUUAGCAAGCAUUUCUGGUCACAAGCUGCUGGAUGGGUGGAUGGGCAGGAUAUAUACCAUCAACCUCAACCAGGAUUUCCUGCUUCAGCUGCUGUUUAACCCUAAUCGGCCUGAGGCACAACGUCUUGCUGCUCUUCACUGUGUAAUGGUCCACCUUGGACCUGACCAGGAGAAUAAGAUCAUCUACUGGAUCAGUGAAAACAUGAUGAGCUUUAAUGCAUUCGAUCAGAUUCAGGAGUUUAUUCUGGGUUCUUUAUACCAGAAGUCCUGUCAGCAAUCUCUCAGUCUUAAUAAAGUGCUUCCAUACUCAUCUGUGUUUGAGAAGAAGGAACUUCCUGUAGCGCUGACUGCUAUCCCGGGUGUGAAGUGCACACCUGAGCUGCUCACUCAGCCAGUAAUUAAAGGGAAGGUCAGGAGUCUGCAGGGUUACUGGAAUGAGCUACAGUGGGUUAUUGAAAGGACAAAAUAUUUUGAGACCUUGCCAAACCCUCGCUAUCGGUUCUCUCAGAUCAAGGGUGACUGGACCAAACUGCAGGCAGCACUGAACUCAGAGAAAAAAAAAUCCUUAAACUACCUGCAACAACUUGAGGAAAACACCAAAAAAGUCCUGUCUGUGGUGGAUAUGUGGCAUUUGGAUCAGAGGGUGGUUCCCCUCUUUCAGGAGGUUGACCAGCCACAGAGGGCACUAAUAGGUCUGAUGGUGGAUAAACUCCGGGAUCACCUGAACAAGUACCUGCCACAGCUGGGGAAGAAAAAGAUCGAAAUGCUGGUGGUGAACUACAUGUCCAAGCAGCUGGAGCUACUUAGACACAUGUUGGAGACUCUGUGGCUGAAGCUGAACUUGGGUCGUACUGCGCAGUGCCUCAAGCAGCAAGGCAGCUCAGAGGAGUGGACCAUGUUUCAUAUCAUGUGUCGGAUUCUGGAAGCAGCUGAAGGACUCUGUCUUCCCCUCCCACCUGGUUAUGCUACCCUUUUGAGUGUGCUGGGUGUACGCUGCCUACCUCACCACACUUUCUUGCUGUAUGUGGACCGUGGCUUUCUACACCUCACUGAGCCUUUUGUGUCACGCCUUAUGACAGAUCUGGAUAACAGUCCUGGUAAUGAAGAAUUGAAGUUCAGUGUCCUGAAAAGACUUCCUGAGAUCCAUCAAAUUGUAAGGGCAAUCCAGAGAUUUCCAGUGUUUGUGGGAUUCUGGUCUGGUUUCUGGCUAGCUUAUUCAAAAACUUGGAUCUUCUUUUGGUGAAGCCGUUCCUUUGUUGAAUUGGAUGUAUGCUUUGGGUGAUUGUCGUGCUGAAAGGUGAAUUCCUUUUUAUCUUCAGCUCACUAGCAGACACCUGAAGGUUUUGCACUAAAAUCAUCUGAAAUUUGUAGCUAUUCAUGAUUCCUCUACCUUGAUAAUGGCUCCAGUUCCGAAGACAAACAGACUGACAGUAUGAUGCUGCCACCACCGUGCACUGUGGGUAUGCUGUUCUCUCGGUUAUGUGCACCAAAUAUGCAUGAUUUGGGCUGAUUUUGUUGAGCUUGGAUGUUUGUUUGUUUUUUUUUGUGAGAAAGAGCUUCUCAUUGUCUAGCUGUCCUACCCCAUAACCCAGACAUGAAGAAUAUAAGAGGUUGUUGUCAAAUGUAGACAGUCAUCAGUACUGGUCAGAUUUUCCUGCAGCCGUUUAAUGUUUCUGUAGGCCUCUUGGCAGCCUUCCUGGUAAGUUUUAAGUCUCUUGUCCUUUUAGAAAUUUUGGAGGGACAUCCUAUUCUUUGUGAUUUCGUUUGUCGUGCUCCAUUUUCUCCAUUUGUUGUGGAUGAUCUUAGGAUGUUCAAUGGUUUGGAAUUUUUUAUGCAUCUCUCCUGAUUGAUGUUUUGAGAUAGCAUACUUUUAAAGCUCUUGGCAUCAGCAGUCAGAUGAAACCAAUAAUAUUGGAAGAAAAUCCUACAGAAACAGCUGAUCUUUAAUUGAGGUUAAUCAGAGUCAUUUUCACUGACAACAGCUGGACGAUAAUUACUAGAGUGAGAGUGAAUGUGAUUGGUUCAUUCUGAAGACAGCCACACCCACAGUUAUUCAACCAGGUUAUUGUAACUUUUUCUGUUUAUUUGUUUUCCCUAAAAAGUUUCUGAUUGUGUCAGUGAUUGGCAGUAACCAGAUUGUGCAGUAAAGUAAAGCAUCUGAAUUUCCUAUUAAUGGCACUGGCACAAUAAAGAGAAAUGGUACUGAGUCAGAGCACACACUUCCUCUGAACAUAUGAAAUCUAUGUAAAAGGGAGUGACAGUGAAAGCGUCCAUAUAUUUCUGCAUAUCCUUGAAGCAGAAUCUGGUUCAGAAGAGUGCAGUUCUGCCAAGAACUCUCAAGACUCCCCAUGUGAACUCUCACUUACAGUUUAGUUCCAGUGAAAACUAGCCGAAAGUCGACGAUAAACAUGAGGUAACUAAUCAAAAGCAUGUGUUUGGCAGUUUUUUCUUGGAAAAAGACAGUUCUCCUGUUAAAGGGAAUCGAUAUGAACUUUUAUUUUCUCUUUUAUUUGUAUGUGUAUAUGUCAAUAUGCUGUAGACAUGAAUUACAUUGAUGACAGCUGGUUGAUAAUUACUCUUGAGUGAGUGUGAUUGGUUCAUUCUGAACACAGCCACACCGUCAGAUCUAAAAGGGUGUGCACACUUAUGCAACCAGAUUAUUGUAGCUUUAUCUUUUUUUUCUGAUGAUCUGAAAUGACUUAUCUAAAAUUCACAAAAACCUGACAUUUAAAGAGGGGUGUGUAAACUUAAUGUAUCCAUUAUAUAUAAAAUGUGCAUCAAAAAAGCUACAUUCAGCAGCAGAGCAUCCCAGUGGCACUUGCAGAAGCAGCAUGCAUACCAUUCACUGCCUACUAUCACAAAGCAGCAGUUUUUUUUCUUUAUAAUCAUGACUUUUGGCUUCUCAUCAUGUUCAUGUAUAAAUAAUAGAAAUAUUAUAAAAGAUGGGGGGAAAAAAACAGCGUUCCUAACAUUUUAGAGUACUAGGUGUAGAUCAUGAUUAUCUCAGGUGGUUUAUUAAAAUGUUCCACCUUUCUCUAUUGAAAAAAAUUAAGGUAUAAUUUGCUUCUUCCACAUGAACUAAAUCACCUAGAUGCAAUUUUCUUGUAAUAAAUUUUAAAAUCUAAUAAAUUAAAGUCAACCUUAAAAAAUAACAGCACAGUUACUAAUUUCUCUGGUUUUAUUGCAAACAGUAAGGGGCAACUGGAAAUAAUAGGACAAACCCCUUACACAUUAAUCCUUGGACAGAAGUCAAAUGGCCUGUAUUUUUAAUACAGCACUGAUGCUGAUUUAUUUUGUUUCAGUGUCUGGCGCAGAGAGUGUGUCAGCUUUGGGAUCAUCCAGUGAGCUCAGCCUGCAUCACCAGACAAUGUGUGCAAAAACUGUUGGAGAAAUACACUAAGACCAAAGCAUCAGUGCAGUUGGACAGAGACAAAUUAUCCUCCCAUCCUGA